rnacentral:rRNA from 1 species
CACGACAGCUUACAGCCUGAUCAUACCUGAUCUCCUCUGAGCUUGGAAGCUAGACAGGGUUGGUCCUAGAUAGUACUAGAUCGGAGACCAACGGGGGAUACCACGCACUGUUGCGC